rnacentral:lncRNA from 1 species
CCAGAGGGAGGCCUUUCUCUGAGCUCUGCGGAGGCCAGAACCUAAGGAAUUGCCAGGUGACUCCAUGUGAAGCUACCCAGGUACCAGGAUCUGAACGUGUUAACACUGGACACUCAAAGUGGACAGAAGGGCAGACAGGCCUGGAAAGAUUGCUCCAUGUCCAGCAAAUUCCCUGUGGCCUCAUGGUGUUGCUUGUAGGUCUGGAUAGACCCUCCGUGGUUUCUGCCCAUCAUUUUUGCCUGGCUCUCACGUCCAUGGACCACCUCUCCAGAGAGCUGCUCUCAUCAUCCUUCCAACCUGGGGACACGAUUAGCACUGCCAGGACAGGAAGCAGUAUUCUCCAGCUGCUGCCUCAGUCUGAACCAAACUUGUGAGAUGAUCCAACAUCCUGGGUUCUGACAACUCUUCUCACAAAGUGACAUUCGGAUUACUCAUUACAUUUUCCAUGUGUGUCAGCAUAAUUUUCCUUGGAAAGGAGCAUCCCAUUGUUCAUGAAUACAAUGGCAUUCUUAUUCAUAAAUCAGAAAUUUAUGAAUUUCUGGGUCAGAAAUUGUUGGUAAGAAAAGCAAUCCACUCUAAGAAACUCAAAUAAAAAGAGGGUUUAUUAUCAACACUGGGGGGAAUCUUGCAGAGAGUUAAUUAUAGGAAAUAGCCUGUCUUCACUGGAAACCGUAAAAUGAGAUACCUCUCUCUGUCUCUCUCUCUCUGUCUCUCUCUCUCUCUGUCUCUCUCUCUCUCUCUCUCUCUCACCAGAGACAUAUAAUUUUAUUCAUUUCUCUUUGGCUUCCUUUGCUAUGUUCUAAAUGUCCACUCCCCUGUAAUUUGGGCCACAAAUGGCACUUCACGGGCUCUCCGGCCAGCUCUCCACAUGACCUUGCAGCUCCAUGCCCAUACCAUCUGACUCACUCAUUCUCUGUGUUUCUUAAAACUCAUGAGAGAAUCUAAUUGGUUGCUGGCUGACUCCUUUGCUCACAUGUUCCAAUCCACUGUGGCUAAGUGGAAAUGAGUUGGCUCGUAAUUAAUAGAUGGAUCCUUUCAGGAAUGUGAACCAAAAAUUUAAACCCAAGGGUUAAUUGGUUGUGGUGGUGAAGUAACCUGCAGCUUCGUUUCUAGUAGGGUUGCUUGGCUGGGUCAGUCAACGCACCUCCAAGAGCUGUGCCUGCCCUGUGCUCCUGCAUCCCCAGCCCACGGAUUGCCCUGAUCUCCCAGCAAGCGUCCAGACGCACACAGGUUGGUCUCCCACAGUAAGAGGAGGCAAGGCUCUCAGAGGCCUUUCUGCUGCUUUAGUUCCUCAGGACUCCUGGUUGCCAUUUGGCUGGCCUCUGGGGAACCCUGACCACUCCACGAUGUGACUUCCAGCCUACUGCUGUGAUGGUUGGAGUGGACCAGACAUCUGCUGUGGCAUGCUCUUUGUAUUUCCCAUCUCCCCACCUCUGUGGCUUACCUGGCCUCUGACUCCUCACCCCUCCACAGUCCUGGGGAUUUUGUCUGUACACACAUUUUCCCCAGCAGCCAGCUAGGUCCCUCAGAGGAUGCCCCUAGCCCAGUGCUUUACCCCAUUCCUGGAUGGAGCAGCUCAGAACAUUGGCUUUCUGAAUUUGCAAAGCCAAGAGACAGACUUGACCUGGGCUGGAUCUCUAAGACAUAUGAGGUGCCCCAAGGGCACCUCACACUGCCUUCUCCAUCCCGGAACCCCCAAAUGGAAGUGGCAGCAAAGCAUCUUGGAGAACAGAGCCUGCAUGUGAGCUGGCAGGUCUUGAUGGGAAUCUUGGCUCUUACUUUGACUCGCUGUGGGAAAUUGCGCAAGUUUUUUGGGGCUUAGUCCUGUAAAAUAAAUUUUAAAAAAAUACUGAAACAUAAGGCUGCUAGGAAAAUUCAAUGAGUACAAAGUAAUUAGCACAUAAUAAACAAACAGGAGCAGUUAUUUUAAAAUCAUUUUUGUCAGUAUUAAUAACAUCUCGUCGUCCCCGGAAAAUAGUGAAAGAGAAGGUAUUGCUGUACCACACUGCCAACUCCUCAUUUCUGAGAAAUAGGCUUUUCUCUCCACUCCAUCUAUCCUACAAGGUCACUGCCGUAUGGAGGCGGUGAAGAAGUGACUGAUAUAUUUAUAGCAGUUAGGGAAACCAUAUUUUGGAUCUGGAGAACAUCCCCCACUUAAAACCCUCUCCCGUAAUAAAAGUUUAAAGUCCUUUCCUUGCAGCUUACCUUAUUUUUUUUUUCUUAAACUACAGCAGCAAUGUCACAUUGAGGUUUCUUUCUCUGUGCAAACACCACUGUACUAAAACUUAUUUCUUACUAAAUUUUGGUUGGAGGAAAAUUAUUCCUAAGUCAUUUUUCCUAUGACCAAGAAGUAUACAGUAAUUAAAACCUUAUUUGUAAACACGAACAAGAAAUAAUUUAUAGCCUAGGUGCAAUCAUUUCACUCUUUCAUGAACUUACAUAUUUAUGUGUUUGAAUAAAACCUAUGAAUACUAACUGGCUCUUUAUUUCAGUAAAUGAGACUGUGGUGAGGAGUGAAUUGAAGGAGGAAAGUGUGGGGCACGUAAUUGAAAAAUAAGAUAGAGCAAUGGAUUUUGGAUGCAUGUCUGCUAGUGAAUCAUUCUGUGACUCUAAGUACAACACUUCGUGCUCUGAUUCCCCAUCUGGAAAAUUAUGAUAAUAUAACUAUCUGCAAAGUAUGACAUGAGAUUCUAUUUUCUAAAAAGAGGAGAACAUCAACUUUUUGGAAUUUUGGAUCCAAAUAAGCAAACAUUCAAAACAAGAGUCUAAGAAAUGAGAAUCCUUGUUUCAGGUGAAGACUGAAACAUUUUAUCCUUAGUUAACAGAAUUUGUAAUAUUUUAGGAAGCCACUUUAAAUCUAAGGUUCUAUCAAAUUAAUAAUAGUAUUCAUAUAUUGUUUAGGCAAAGGGACAGAUUAAUAGGUAAUUUACAAAAG